rnacentral:rRNA from 1 species
GAUGAACGCUGGCGGCGUGCCUAAUACAUGCAAGUCGAGCGAACAGACGAGGAGCUUGCUCCUCUGACGUUACCGGCGGACGGGUGAGUAACACGUGGAUAACCUACCUAUAAGACUGGGAUAACUUCGGGAAACCGGAGCUAAUACCGGAUAAUAUAUUGAACCUCAUGGUUCAAUAGUGAAAGACGGUUUUGCUGUCCCUUAUAGAUGGAUCCGCGCCGCAUUAGCUAGUUGGUAAGGUAACGGCUUACCAAGGCAACGAUGCGUAGCCGACCUGAGAGGGUGAUCGGCCACACUGGAACUGAGACACGGUCCAGACUCCUACGGGAGGCAGCAGUAGGGAAUCUUCCGCAAGGGGCGAAAGCUUGACGGAGCAACGCCGCGUGAGUGAUGAAGGUCUUCGGAUCGUAAAACUCUGUUAGUAGGGAAGAACAAAUGUGUAAGUAACUAUGCACGUCUUGACGGUACCGAAUCAGAAAGCCACGGCUAACUACGUG